AUCAUGGUCUUUUUAAAGACCAUAAAAUAUUGAAGAAAUACAGGCCU
rfam:Mesitornis unicolor contig38399, whole genome shotgun sequence.